ensembl:snoRNA
GAUCAAUGAUGAGAAUUAGCCAAAUCUGAGCGUUUGGGGAUGAAACCCUCAACCUGUGA